rnacentral:rRNA from 1 species
AUGCUUUACACAUGCAAGUCGAACGGCAGCAUGGAGAGCUUGCUCUCUGAUGGCGAGUGGCGAACGGGUGAGUAAUAUAUCGGAACGUGCCUAGUAAUGGGGAAUAACUAGCUGAAAGGUUAGCUAAUGCCGCAUACGACCUACGGGUGAAAGCAGGGGAUCUUCGGACCUUGCGUUAUUAGAGCGGCCGAUAUCUGAUUAGCUUGUUGGUGGGGUAAUGGCCUACCAAGGCGACGAUCAGUAGCUGGUCUGAGAGGACGAUCAGCCACACUGGAACUGAGACACGGUCCAGACUCCUACGGGAGGCAGCAGUGGGGAAUUUUGGACAAUGGGGGAAACCCUGAUCCAGCCAUUCCGCGUGAGUGAAGAAGGCCUUCGGGUUGUAAAGCUCUUUCGCAAGAGAAGAAAACUUGCUAUCUAAUAAAUAGUAAGCAUGACGGUAUCUUGACAAGAAGCACCGGCUAACUACG